rnacentral:rRNA from 1 species
CAGCAGCCGCGGUAAUACGGAGGGAGCUAGCGUUGUUCGGAAUUACUGGGCGUAAAGCGCACGUAGGCGGCUUGGUAAGUUAGAGGUGAAAGCCCGGAGCUCAACUCCGGAAUUGCCUUUAAGACUGCCGAGCUAGCAGGUGAGAGAGGUAAGUGGAAUUCCGAGUGUAGAGGUGAAAUUCGUAGAUAUUCGGAAGAACACCAGUGGCGAAGGCAAUCCCCUGGGCCUGUACUGACGCUCAUGCACGAAAGCGUGGGGAGCAAACAGGAUUAGAUACCCCAGUAGUCCCUGUCUCUUAUAC